rfam:Ceratocystis platani strain CFO contig_00003 mitochondrial, whole genome shotgun sequence.
GGGAUUUUAGUAUAAUGGUUAUUACAUAGGACUUUUAAUCCUUAUGAUAUCGGUUCAAAUCCGAUAGAUCCUA